UUUCUAUUGCUACUUAAAGUAUGGUAAUGCCUAGUGGAUGUCUAUGCUAUGGCCUGCCACUAUCAUCAGUUCUGCUUCCACCAGUUCACUUAUGUGCAUCCUACAGUCCGUUAUACUUAUGGCCAGCUGUCCUUGUUACUGUCAUGUACCAAGACCUGCAAAAUCC